rnacentral:rRNA from 1 species
CCUACGGGUGGCUGCAGUGGGGAAUCUUCCGCAAUGGACGAAAGUCUGACGGAGCGACGCCGCGUGAGUGAUGAAGGCCCUUGGGUCGUAAAGCUCUGUCAUUGGGGACGAACGACCGCUUCAGGAAAUGGGAGCGGAGUGACGGUACCCAAGAAGGAAGCCACGGCUAACUACGUGCCAGCAGCCGCGGUAAUACGUAGGUGGCAAGCGUUGUCCGGAAUUAUUGGGCGUAAAGCGCGCGCAGGUGGGAUCUUAAGUCUGUUCUGAAAGUUCGGAGCUUAACUCCGUGAUGGGAUGGAAACUGGGAUUCUUGAGUACCGGAGAGGAAAGCGGAAUUCCCCGUGUAGCGGUGAAAUGCGUAGAUAUGGGGAGGAACACCAGUGGCGAAGGCGGCUUUCUGGACGGUGUCUGACACUGAGGCGCGAAAGCUAGGGGAGCGAACGGGAUUAGAUACCCCAGUAGUC